rnacentral:rRNA from 1 species
CAGCAGCCCGCGGUUAAUACCAGCGCCACGAGUGGCAAUCACGAUUAUUGGGCCUAAAGCGUCCGUAGCCGGUUCUGUAAAUCCUUUGUGAAAUCGCCAGGCUUAACCUGGCGGCGUGCAGGGGACACUGCAGGACUCGAGACCGGGAGGAGUCAGAAGUAUUUUGGGGGGAGCGGUAAAAUGCUAUAAUCCCCGAAAGACUACCUAUGGCGAAGGCAUCUGACUAGAACGGAUCUGACGGUGAGGGACGAAAGCCAGGGGAGCGAACCGGAUUAGAUACCCGAGUAGUCCUGGCCGUAAACGCUGUGAGCUAGGUGUUGCAUAUUCUACAUGAAUGUGCAGUGUCGAAACGAAGGUGCUAAGCUCACCACCUGGGAAGUACGGUCGCAAGACUGAAACUUUAAGGAAUUGGCGGGGGAGCACUACAAGGGGUGCGGCGUGCGGUUUAAUCUAACUCAACGCAGAGAACCUCACUAGAGGCGACGGCAGAAUGAAGGUCAUGCUGAAGACAUUGCCUGACGAGCCGAGAGGUGGUGCAUGGCCGUCGUCAGCUCGUGCUGUAAAGUGUCCAGUUAAGUCUGGCAACGAGCGAGACCUGUAUCCACAAUUGCUAACGACCUCUGGGAUCGAGCACAUUGUGGGGACUGCCCUGGAAACAGGGAGGAAGGUGCAGGCAACGGUAGGUCUGUAUGCCCCGAAUCCUCUAGGCUACACGCGCGCAACAAUGGUAGGGACAAUGGGAUACAACCCCGAAAGGGGAAGUUAAACCUCUAAACCCUAUCCAAGUCCAGAUUGAGGCUUGCAACUCAGCCUCAUGACGACGGAAUCCCUAGUAAUUGGGUCUCAUCAUAACCCAGUGAAUAUGUCCCUGCCCCUUGCACAC